UACGGAGGGUGCAAGCGUGGGCCGGAAUUAUUGGGCGUAAAGAGCUCGUAGGCGGUUUGUCGCGUCUGCUGUGAAAACUCGGGGCUUAACCCCGGGCCUGCAGUGGGUACGGGCAGACUAGAGUGCGGUAGGGGAGACUGGAAUUCCUGGUGUAGCGGUGAAAUGCGCAGAUAUCAGGAGGAACACCGGUGGCGAAGGCGGGUCUCUGGGCCGUAACUGACGCUGAGGAGCGAAAGCGUGGGGAGCGAACAGG
rnacentral:rRNA from 1 species